UCUGGACCUGGGGUGCAAUCCCCCGGGUGGCUCUCCCGGCCGCCGAUCCGCCGGGCCAAC
rfam:Maribius salinus strain DSM 26892 genome assembly, contig: Ga0069991_120